rnacentral:rRNA from 1 species
GAUGAACGCUGGCGGCGUGCCUAAUACAUGCAAGUCGAGCGAACAGAUGAGGAGCUUGCUCCUCUGACGUUAGCGGCGGACGGGUGAGUAACACGUGGAUAACCUACCUAUAAGACUGGGAUAACUUCGGGAAACCGGAGCUAAUACCGGAUAAUAUAUUGAACCGCAUGGUUCAAUAGUGAAAGACGGUUUUGCUGUCACUUAUAGAUGGAUCCGCGCCGCAUUAGCUAGUUGGUAAGGUAACGGCUUACCAAGGCAACGAUGCGUAGCCGACCUGAGAGGGUGAUAGGCCACCCUGGAACUGAGACAGGGUCCAGACUCCUACGGGAGGCAGCAGUAGGGACUCUUCCGCAAUGGGCGAAAGCCUGACGGAGCAAAGCCGCGUGAGUGAUGAAGGUGUUCGGAUCGUAAAACGAUGUUAUUAGGGAAGAACAAAUGUGUAAGUAACUAUGCACGUCUUGACGGUACCUAAUCAGAAAGCCACGGCUAACUACGUG